rnacentral:rRNA from 1 species
GCAUAUCAAUAAGCGGAGGAAAAGAAACCAACAGGGAUUGCCUUAGUAGCGGCGAGUGAAGCGGCAAAAGCUCAAAUUUGAAAUCUGGCACUUUCAGUGUCCGAGUUGUAAUUUGAAGAAGGUAUCUUUGGGUCUGGCUCUUGUCUAUGUUUCUUGGAACAGAACGUCACAGAGGGUGAGAAUCCCGUGCGAUGAGAUGACCCAGACCUAUGUAAAGUUCCUUCGAAGAGUCGAGUUGUUUGGGAAUGCAGCUCUAAGUGGGUGGUAAAUUCCAUCUAAAGCUAAAUAUUGGCGAGAGACCGAUAGCGAACAAGUACAGUGAUGGAAAGAUGAAAAGAACUUUGAAAAGAGAGUGAAAAAGUACGUGAAAUUGUUGAAAGGGAAGGGCUUGAGAUCAGACUUGGUAUUUUGUAUGUUACUCUUUCGGGGGUGGCCUCUACAGUUUACCGGGCCAGCAUCAGUUUGGGCGGUAGGAGAAUUGCAAAGAAAUGUGGCACUGCUUCGGUAGUGUGUUAUAGUCUUUGUCGAUACUGCCAGCCUAGACUGAGGACUGCGGCUUCGGCCUAGGAUGUUGGCAUAAUGAUCUUAAGUCGCCCGUCUUGAAACACGGACCAAGGAGUCUAACGUCUAUGCAAGUGUUUGGGUGUAAAA